AAUAGAUACCCAGGUAGUCCACGCCGUAAACGAUGAGUGCUAAGUGUUGGGGGGUUUCCGCCCCUCAGUGCUGCAGCUAACGCAUUAAGCACUCCGCCUGGGGAGUACGGUCGCAAGACUGAAACUCAAAGGAAUUGACGGGGGCCCGCACAAGCGGUGGAGCAUGUGGUUUAAUUCGAAGCAACGCGAAGAACCUUACCAGGUCUUGACAUCCCGGUGACCACUAUGGAGACAUAGUUUCCCCUUCGGGGGCAACGGUGACAGGUGGUGCAUGGUUGUCGUCAGCUCGUGUCGUGAGAUGUUGGGUUAAGUCCCGCAACGAGCGCAACCCUUAUUCUUAGUUGCCAUCAUUUAGUUGGGCACUCUAAGGAGACUGCCGGUGAUAAACCGGAGGAAGGUGGGGAUGACGUCAAAUCAUCAUGCCCCUUAUGACCUGGGCUACACACGUGCUACAAUGGACGGUACAAACGGUUGCCAACCCGCGAGGGGGAGCUAAUCCGAUAAAACCGUUCUCAGUUCGGAUUGUAGGCUGCAACUCGCCUACAUGAAC
rnacentral:rRNA from 1 species